rnacentral:rRNA from 1 species
CCUACGGGUGGCAGCAGUGGGGAAUAUUGGACAAUGGGGGGAACCCUGAUCCAGCCAUGCCGCGUGUGUGAAGAAGGCCCUCGGGUUGUAAAGCACUUUCAGUGAGGAAGAACGCCUGGUGGUUAAUACCCAUCAGGAAAGACAUCACUCACAGAGGAAGCACCGGCUAACUCCGUGCCAGCAGCCGCGGUAAUACGGAGGGUGCGAGCGUUAAUCGGAAUUACUGGGCGUAAAGCGCGCGUAGGUGGCUUGAUAAGCCGGUUGUGAAAGCCCCGGGCUCAACCUGGGAACGGCAUCCGGAACUGUCAAGCUAGAGUGCAGGAGAGGAAGGUAGAAUUCCCGGUGUAGCGGUGAAAUGCGUAGAGAUCGGGAGGAAUACCAGUGGCGAAGGCGGCCUUCUGGACUGACACUGACACUGAGGUGCGAAAGCGUGGGUAGCAAACAGGAUUAGAUACCCGUGUAGUC